ACGCACAAAUUACGGACGUCAAUACAUCUGGACAUCUAAACUUCUUUGCGUAUAGAUUGAGCAAUGGAAUAAUAACCGCUAAAAUUGUAGAGGCUUUAACUAUCUUAAUGAUGUCAGUGAGUUUUCGGUGGUGUUUUGUUUAACCGCAAAGACCGUAUCGAAAGGUAACGGCUAUCAAUAAGUAGCAAAAUGAUUAAAUGGGUGAUGUUGCUCUAGUAAAAUCGACAUUUAUUUAGUGAGAACAGCGGAGAUCGGGCAUAAUUAGCCGGUUUUCAGAAUUUUGUAUUUUUCCGACAAAUUUAAGGUGUCCCAUGGCUGAGUGGAACGGCGAGUAUGUCAGCCCUUACGCUGAACACGGCAAGAAAAGCGAACAGGUCAAAAAAAUUACGGUAUCCAUUCCGCUGAAGGUAUUGAAAAUCCUCACCGAUGAACGGACCCGUCGCCAGGUGAAUAACCUGCGCCACGCCACCAACAGUGAAUUGUUGUGUGAGGCUUUUUUGCAUGCAUUUACUGGUCAGCCGCUGCCGAAUGACGAAGACCUGCGGAAAGAACGCAGCGAUGAAAUCCCGGAAGCCGCAAAAAUUUUAAUGCGUGAAUUGGGUGUUGACCCCGAUACCUGGGAAUACUGAUCCCCAACUACCACUCGGUUCAUUAGUCAUAGUGAACCUGAAAUGUAGAAAUGAAAAAGGCACCCGAAGGUGCCUUUUUCAUCUGACGGGCAAUAAUUACUUCUUAGCACCCGGCACGCUGAAACGCUUGUUGAAGCGGUCAACACGGCCACCGGUAGCAACAUCACGCUGCUUGCCAGUGUAGAACGGGUGGCAUUCGCCGCACACGUCCAGAUUCAGGUCAUGACCAACAGUAGAGUUGAUCUUAAUAACGUUACCGCAAGAGCAAGAAGCAGUAACUAAAUCGUAUUUAGGGUGGAUACCUUGUUUCAUGGAAAACCUCUAUAUUUAGGCCGUGUCGCUAUCCAGCCCUGUUCCGCCAGACACCACACGAUUGAUAAAUAACAAUUUGAUUGUUAACGAACAGCCGCUGAUAAACUAAGCAACGGUUGUUAACAGGAUUUGAUAUCGAAUUAUAUCAAAGGCGGCGAAUCAUACAGAAUUUGACCAAACCGCGCAAUCGAAUCCGCACAUUGUGAAGCACUCAGUGUAAACUGUUCAAUCUUUAUUUAUACCCGUCAUACUUCAAGUUGCAUGUGCGUUGGUUGUGCUCAAUAACCCGAAUCACUUACUCAUGUAAGCUCAUCGGACUUUUCUCG
rnacentral:rRNA from 1 species